GACGAACGCUGGCGGCGUGCCUAAUACAUGCAAGUAGAACGCUGAAGAGAGGAGCUUGCUCUUCUUGGAUGAGUUGCGAACGGGUGAGUAACGCGUAGGUAACCUGCCUUGUAGCGGGGGAUAACUAUUGGAAACGAUAGCUAAUACCGCAUAACAAUGGAUGACACAUGUCAUUUAUUUGAAAGGGGCAAUUGCUCCACUACAAGAUGGACCUGCGUUGUAUUAGCUAGUAGGUGAGGUAACGGCUCACCUAGGCGACGAUACAUAGCCGACCUGAGAGGGUGAUCGGCCACACUGGGACUGAGACACGGCCCAGACUCCUACGGGAGGCAGCAGUAGGGAAUCUUCGGCAAUGGGGGCAACCCUGACCGAGCAACGCCGCGUGAGUGAAGAAGGUUUUCGGAUCGUAAAGCUCUGUUGUAAGUCAAGAACGAGUGUGAGAGUGGAAGGUUCACACUGUGACGGUAGCUUACCAGAAAGGGACGGCUAACUACGUGCCAGCAGCCGCGGUAAUACGUAGGUCCCGAGCGUUGUCCGGAUUUAUUGGGCGUAAAGCGAGCGCAGGCGGUUUGAUAAGUCUGAAGUUAAAGGCUGUGGCUCAACCAUAGUUCGCUUUGGAAACUGUCAAACUUGAGUGCAGAAGGGGAGAGUGGAAUUCCAUGUGUAGCGGUGAAAUGCGUAGAUAUGUGGAGGAACACCGGUGGCGAAAGCGGCUCUCUGGUCUGUAACUGACGCUGAGGCUCGAAAGCGUGGGGAGCGAACAGGAUUAGAUACCCUGGUAGUCCACGCCGUAAACGAUGAGUGCUAGGUGUUGGAUCCUUUCCGGGAUUCAGUGCCGCAGCUAACGCAUUAAGCACUCCGCCUGGGGAGUACGACCGCAAGGUUGAAACUCAAAGGAAUUGACGGGGGCCCGCACAAGCGGUGGAGCAUGUGGUUUAAUUCGAAGCAACGCGAAGAACCUUACCAGGUCUUGACAUCCCGAUGCUAUUUCUAGAGAUAGAAAGUUACUUCGGUACAUCGGUGACAGGUGGUGCAUGGUUGUCGUCAGCUCGUGUCGUGAGAUGUUGGGUUAAGUCCCGCAACGAGCGCAACCCCUAUUGUUAGUUGCCAUCAUUCAGUUGGGCACUCUAGCGAGACUGCCGGUAAUAAACCGGAGGAAGGUGGGGAUGACGUCAAAUCAUCAUGCCCCUUAUGACCUGGGCUACACACGUGCUACAAUGGUUGGUACAACGAGUUGCGAGUCGGUGACGGCAAGCUAAUCUCUUAAAGCCAAUCUCAGUUCGGAUUGUAGGCUGCAACUCGCCUACAUGAAGUCGGAAUCGCUAGUAAUCGCGGAUCAGCACGCCGCGGUGAAUACGUUCCCGGGCCU
rnacentral:rRNA from 1 species